AGGCAGAUCUUCGUGGUGGGAAGCCUCUGUGAUUGCAGGACAUUUGUUACUUGGUAUAACCCAGCCUGUUCUAACUGACAGGAAACACAGCUCUGAUUUACAGAUAACACUGUACUAACGAGUCUAUCACGUGCAUCUUGAUUGACAUCCUUGAAUGCCAUUGUAGGUUGGGGGAUGGGGUCUGAGUUCUGGUCCUUUUUCCCCAGGCUUCAUCUCCUGUGUCAAUUCAGGCAAGAGGAAGAGAGAGGAGGAAGCUUCCAGAUCCAAGCCAGAGGAGGUGGAUGCAGCACCCAUCGCCCAGAGCUUUGGGGCCUGGCCCAGCCUCUACCUGGCCGAGACACCCAACCCCAACCCCACCCACUUGGGCAUGCAGAAGAGUCUGAGACGGUGCACACUGACCCGCGGCAGAGUUACAGCAGCAGAGCUUUGCAGACUGGGGCUGGCUGAGACACAGCCUGGGCUGGACGGAGCAGCUUCCAGAGGAGAACAGACAGGUGCCACGUGGUCAGGGGAACCCCCAUGGAGUCCGAGGUGGCCGUGACUGUGGAUGCCCCACGGUGAGCCUGAGUCCAAGGGAGCAAAGGAGAGGACCUGUUUGGCUGCGUUAAAACAGUAGGAACGUUCUGAAAUCACAGAAUUCUUAUGAGAAGAACUCGUCAUCCAAUACCCAACAGAAGCUGCUCCUGCCCCCGUCUUCACAACUGAGGGCUCCAUCCUCCGUGAUCCUUGAUAGAUCAACUCUAGGGUUGCGGAUGUUCUUGGUAGAGCGGAACGUGUUUGCUGUUUUUCCAAAAGCUGUUUUUUAAAGACAUCUGUAACACACAACACACCUUCUUUUAAACCGCAGUGAAAACUUGAUUGCAAAAAUGGGCCUCGCGGGAACCUUCUCAAUAUUUUACAUUUCUUCGGAUACUUUUCAAAGCCCCUCUGUUUCUCCACCUUUCCUUUCUCAUCUGGUCUCAGCCGGCACCGCGUAGCACAGAGGUGGACCGAUUUCCUCAGGACACCACAGCCAAGGGUCGGAAAACCAGGUUUCCUGAGUUUCAGUUCAGUGUGCCAUCCACGACUGUAGUGACAGGCAUCGUGUCUUUCUCCUUAAGAAAAAAAGAAAAAUAUAGAUAAAUCACUGCUUUCAGGUGAAGGAUUUUAAAAAGCUUGCAAUACCUGUCGUCAUUUUUAUCUGAAAUCAUAAAGAUGUGAAAUUUGUGAGCUGACGUGUAAAUGUGCAUCUGAAAAGCUCUUGCACACAAGAUGACAGGGUUGAUUUCUGGCUUUGGUGUCCCCAAACCUGAGCACAGGCAGUCCUGUGGCUGCCUGGUGGCCCUCUUGCCCUGUGAGCUGGGGACACCGGUGUGAUUCCUUCUCUCCUGGUGGCCCCUGGCUGCAGCCCUUCGGGACCUGGCCUUCUGGCUGUGCCCGUACUCUCCUCCCCAACUCCUGCCGCGUAGAUGGGGACAGUGGGGCGAGUAGCUGGUCCCUCUUGACACCGUCCUAUGACCUGAAUUUACUGUGUGAAAUCAUCGCUUUCGAGUCCAUUUUGAAAUGUCAAGGAAUGAGAAAAGCCUUGAAUAUUUAUAAAUGUUGGGACCCACUUGCAGGAACUCUUAAAGGGGAAAGACGUCAAAUGCAGAGAUGUGGAAGGAGACCGCCUUGUGCUUCUUUAAAUAGAGAAGGUGCGGCAGCUGAAGUGGCAGUUUCGGGGCUUCCAGGGAGCUCUUUUCCUGGCGCCUGCUAAAUGUUAAUCUAGAGUUGGGCAUGAGCGUGAGGCGGCAAGGCGCAGCCCUCUACCUUCCUUCCAUGCCUCCUCCCUCUCGUGCGCUCUAACUCUCCAAUUGCUUUAAAAUAUUUAGAAGGGACAUGCUAUAUUAUUUAAAAGCUAGAUUGGCUCACUGACCUGGAGGGCUCAGCCUAGUUAGCGGAGAAGCCCCACUGAGGCACAGGCGUGGUAUGGCAGGGGGCUCAGAGGCAAUUGAGUUAGGAAGCAGGAGAGGAAAGGGGUGGCCACAGAAACUCUGAAUUCUUGGUCGAGGAAGAUGACUUUGUUUGGGAGAAACUAGUUCUCAGAAUAUGCAGCAUUCAGAUAUCAGAGGUAUAACUUUCAGUUUGUUCCUGAAUAAUUGGUCAAUGAAGAAAGCUAGGACAGAGGAGGUUAGGAGCUGUGCAGGCCUGGGCGGCCUUCAGGAGGGAGAACCAGUGACAGCAUCACUAGGCUUGUGCUCUGUGCCAGGCAUGCUCCAUGCAAUCCCUUGUUGAUCUGUGAUGAGGGGCCACAGAGCGGGCAGAUGGGCACCCAAAGCUGAAGGCUCAUGUGUGGUGGAGCCGGGACAAAGCUGAGGUUACUGUCUCCACAGGGGCAUCCCUCGGUGGGCAUCUGUGCAGCUCACCAACUCUUGCUGGCACUGCGCCUCCAGGCCACAGCAGGACAUUCCCUGUCCCUGAAAAUGUUAGGGGUGGCCACGUGACUUGCUUUGCCAGUGAAAUUGGUGAGAAGUAACCUGGUGGAAACUUUAAGAGCUAGUUUCUGACUUGCUACUUCCUGUUCCCACAGCUCAGCAGGAACCAGGUUGUGAGGAUGGUGCCUUCCUCAGGGUGGGACCCCAGUGGGGGCGAGAAGCAGCAGGGCCCUAGCCCCCAGUAGUGGCUUUUGUGUGAUUGAGAAGUAAACCUUUCUUUGUUUUAAGCCCCUAGGAUUCAGGGGGAUGUUUGUUAAUGCAACAGAACCCACUUUUCCCUGACUGAUACAACACCUAACCUUACACCAUGAAUUAGAAAUACAUGUCUGAAGCAUAAGAGGCUUAGAGAUCAUUGGAUUCAACCCCCCAUUUAGUAGCUGAGAAAAUGCAAAUGUCCAUAAUCUUGGCCAACAUGCUUAUCUGUGACCAGAGCUGUGACGAUGGAACCCUCGUCCCUUUGGGAGUGGUCUAAGGUUUGGAGACCUCAGUCUGGCCAGUACUUCCCCCACCACCUCAAUAGUCUUGGCCUUUCCUCUCAUUUUGUGCCCCUAGAGGAGCCCCCACCCUCCACACCCACCCGUUAGGUCUUUCCUACUUCAUAGAUUUUCACCUUGGCCUUCCUGCCUUUUCCUCCUUCUAAGCCACAGGGUUGACCCAGCGAGGGCUUAGCGUCAGGUGCAGUUCCACGGGGCUGGUUGGGGGUGGAGGCAGAGAGGGUUCGAACCCCUGAUGUGUUCAACAGAAGAGCAGAACAGGGAAGUCUAUGUCUUCACUGGCCUGAGACUAUCUCCAGAAAUACGAUGGAGGUUCCUGCCCUGCCUCCCUCUUUCUGUCCAAUCUCACCAAAACCUCACAUUUUCUACAAUUCAAAUCUGUCUGUCCUUUGUCUAAAAUGCAAAGGUCUCCCUCUUGGGUCACAGGGGUCCAAGGAUGUCACAGAAUUCAUGGCCCCGUCAGUGGACAGCAGCUCUUCUGCUGCCCGGACUGCACCUGCAGAAAUGCGGACAGUGGUGAGUGGGGCAAGCAGAGCUCGGGGUUGGGGUGCUCUCCUCAGCACUCAACUUAGAGAGGGGAGAGAGGGAGGGGCUUGAGCCGUGAUGUGGAACUCACCUGUGGACCAUGCAAGGUAGAAUGCCCAGUCAACAGGGGGUUGGUAACAGGGGGUUUGGGGAUCUUCUGUUUACCACAUCUGAUGCUCGCACCCUCUAUGCCUUCACCCCCAGCCAGCCCAAUGGUGUUGCACUGGAUGUUGCCAGGUGGUCUCAUGGAUUCAAAUUCUUUCUCAGGUUGAGAAGAGAUGCUCUUAGUAACAGAGCUUCAUGAUUUUGGUUCUUUCUGGGAAACAACUCUUGGGAGGGGAGAGAGAAAUUCCAUGCAGGCCAGCCACAAAGCAUGGGAUGUAUGGGAAUAGGGGACAGAGGUGAGGGAGAGCUGGGCACAGUGCAAAGGCCCUCCAAGAUGUGGGUUGGAUAUGGGGCGAGGGGGCUCUAGGGCAGCCAGUGGUUUGCAGAGUGUGUUGGCAGGGGCUGCAGGAUAGACCCCAUCUCACAGAAAGGCUAGGAGUUUCUUCUUCCCACCACAGGGCAGACUCAUCAGAGCUCCAGCUUCCAGGCCAACUGAGGGGCCCAGGCACCACUUUGGAAACUGCUGUGCUAGGAAGAGGCAGUGUCGUGAAUGGCGUCUAGUUUAAGUCCAUGUUAAUUAGAGAAUAUAUAAUUAUGAUUGUCAUAAACCAUGGUAUGGUAUUCCUUGUGCUUAUUCUGCUUGGAGUUUGUUGAGAUUCUUACAUCUGUGUUUGGAUUUUAAAAUUUAAUUUGGGAAAACUUUUGGCCAUUAUUUCUUCAAAUACGUUUUAUGUCCUCUCAUUCCUGUCUUCUGUGACUUCAAGUAUCUGUGUAUCAGAUACAAUGACCCUUAAGUCACUCAAACUUUUUACUUUUUUUCAUUUUCAUAUGUCUAUUUUCUCUCUGUGAUUAAUUUUAGAUAGUUUUAAUUGCAUUUUCCUCAUGAUAUUUUCAUCUGCCAUAUCUAAUUUGUUAUUAAUCCCACUUAGUAUGCAUUUUAUGUCAGGUUUUUUUUUUUUUUUAAUUUCCACUUUGUAUGUUCCAUUUACCUCCUCAUUAUGGUCAUACUUUCAUUUAUAUUCUUGGACAUAUCUUUAAUAUUUAUCAUUGCUCUUUUCAGAUCCUAACUGGCUAUUUUUAUCACUCUUGUCAUUUUGGGAUCUGCUUCUAUUGUUUUAUUUUUCUCCUGGUUAUGGGUAAUAUUUGCCUGUUAUUUCACAUGGCUGAUGAUUUUUGAUUGGGUGCUAAACACUGUUUUUCAUCUUUGAGUGCUGAUUCUGUUGGAUUCCUUUAACGAGUGUAGGACUUUGCUCUGGACUGCAGUUACUUAUGGAACCAUUUGGCCUCCUUGAGGCAGGCACCUGAGAUUUGUUAGUGUAGCCCUUCUAGGAUGAAUUUAGCCCCAUUUCUAAGGUUUGACCCUCUUAGGAUUGUACCCAACACCCCACGUAUCAUGAGGUCUCUCCAUUCUCUCUGAUGGAAGUACUGAGUAGCCUCUCUGUGUGGGCCCCAAGUGUUAUUGGACCUGCACUUUGUAGGGGGUCUUUCUGCGGCCUUAUGGAGUCUGACCCAUGCAUUGCAGUUCAC